rnacentral:rRNA from 1 species
UACGUAGGUGGCAAGCGUUGUCCGGAUUUACUGGGCGUAAAGCGCGUGCAGGCGGCUGGGUAAGUUGGAUGUGAAAUCUCCUGGCUCAACUGGGAGAGGCCGUUCAAUACUACCUGGCUUGAGGGCGACAGAGGGAGGUGGAAUUCCGGGUGUAGUGGUGAAAUGCGUAGAUAUCCGGAGGAACACCAGAGGCGAAGGCGACCUCCUGGGUCGUACCUGACGCUGAGAUGCGGAAGCUAGGGGAGCAAACGGG